rnacentral:tRNA from 3 species
GCUUCCAUAGCUCAGCAGGUAGAGCACUUCCAUGGUAAGGAAGAGGUCGCAGGUUCAAAUCCUGUUGGAAGCUCCA